CUACGUAGGGGGCGAGCGUUGUCCGGAAUGAUUGGGCGUAAAGGGCGCGUAGGCGGCCCGGUAAGUCUGGAGUGAAAGUCCUGUUUUUAAGAUGGGAAUUGCUUUGGAUACUGUCGGGCUUGAGUGCAGGAGAGGUAAGUGGAAUUCCCAGUGUAGCGGUGAAAUGCGUAGAGAUUGGGAGGAACACCAGUGGCGAAGGCGACUUACUGGAAUGUAACUGACGCUGAGGCGCGAAAGUGUGGGGAGCAAACAGGAUUAGAUACCCUGGUAGUCCACGCUGUAAACGAUGAUUACUAGGUGUGGGGGGACUGACCCCUUCCGUGCCGCAGUUAACACAAUAAGUAAUCCACCUGGGGAGUACGGCCGCAAGGUUGAAACUCAAAUGAAUUGACGUGG
rnacentral:rRNA from 1 species